GACUUGAGCGCCAGCGAGAGAGCGUUGCCGCAGGCAACGACCCGAAGGGCGAAGCGUGCAGCGCUGAGUAAUCCUUCCCCCACCACCA
rnacentral:sRNA from 2 species